UGAGCUUUGCAUUUAAAAACAAAUGUC
rnacentral:piRNA from 1 species